AGCGAACGCUGGCGGCAGGCCUAACACAUGCAAGUCGAACGAACCUUUCGGGGUUAGUGGCGGACGGGUGAGUAACACGUGGGAACGUGCCUUUAGGUUCGGAAUAACUCAGGGAAACUUGUGCUAAUACCGAAUGUGCCCUUCGGGGGAAAGAUUUAUCGCCUUUAGAGCGGCCCGCGUCUGAUUAGCUAGUUGGUUGAGGUAAUGGCUCACCAAGGCGACGAUCAGUAGCUGGUCUGAGAGGAUGAUCAGCCACAUUGGGACUGAGACACGGCCCAAACUCCUACGGGAGGCAGCAGUGGGGAAUCUUGCGCAAUGGGCGAAAGCCUGACGCAGCAAUGCCGCGUGAAUGAUGAAGGUCUUAGGAUUGUAAAAUUCUUUCACCGGGGACGAUAAUGACGGUACCCGGAGAAGAAGCCCCGGCUAACUUCGUG
rnacentral:rRNA from 1 species